UUCCGAUGGUGGCACCAUGACGUCGCAGCGGAGCUAUUUGGCCGCUUCGUCGGCCCAGAGAACCCGGUGAGGCAGGUGUUCUGUGGUGAGGCCAGAGGCCUGGUAGUGUAUGGGUGUUCUCUGCUGGUAGGUGGCAGCUGGUAGGUGUUCUGUGGCCUGAUCACUGGCUCUCAUAAAUGGUAGUGUAUAGGUGUUCUGUGCUCUCAUUCUCAAAAGCUGCAGAAAUUAGGCGUCUCUUCCUUCAUCUAACCAACACCACUAUUCUCAAGCUAGCGCCUUAAUUGAACGUUCGGGAAGUAUCAUUCAUUGUGCUUUGUCUCCGCAAGUCGUGCAGCUUCGUGUAGACAACGCAGUACACAAACCGGUGCCUCGUAACGAUUUUGUCAACGUUGUGGUGACUAUGCUUGCUCGAUCGACAGACUAGUAAACCGGUGCCCAGUAGCGAUUUCGUGAACAUCGUGGUGACUGCUAGAUCGACAGGCGUCGCAGGCUGCAGUGCGCUGCCUUGCAACAACAGGCUCUCUAUGUAAAGCAUUCACAAUGCUUAUGUUAUGCAAGGCCUUCAAGGAAUGUGGCCAAAGGACGACCUGCGGAAACUGUGCACUCAAUCAGCGCUGUGAUCUUCAGAGCAAAGUUCACCUUUGCUGAAGAUCCAAGUGUGAGGAACUGAAGCAACAAACAGCUCCAAGACAUGAUCUGUGCAAGUUGCAUUUAGAGGAGCUGCAAACAACAAAAGAAAAAUAAGAAUAAAAAGUGUAUCCCUA